UACAGAGGGUGCGAGCGUUGUUCGGAAUUACUGGGCGUAAAGCGCGCGCAGGCGACUCUUUAAGUCUCGUGGUCAAAUGCCGGGGCUCAACCCCGAGCGUGCCGGGGAUACUGGAGGGCUGGAGACAGGUAGAGGCAAGCGGAAUUCCGGGUGUAGCGGUGGAAUGCGUAGAGAUCCGGAAGAACACCGGAGGCGAAGGCGGCUUGCUGGACCUGGUCUGACGCUGAGGCGCGAAAGCGUGGGGAGCGAACAGG
rnacentral:rRNA from 1 species